CCAGCUCCUCUUCUUCUUCUCAAAGACAGCCAAAUCGGACCCUAAAUCACAAAACAUUCAGGCGAGAGUGCCUCAUUCUCGCCUCAUGCAUCUUCUCUCUCUCUUUGUCACCAUAUUUGUAACAAUCUCUAACAAAUUCUCCCUCCCCAUCCCUUUCGCACGUGUUGGAAGCCUCCAGAAGGCACAUGCUUGAUGAAUAUGGAGCGUAGAUUCGAUUUCAAUGAAUCGCAGCCCUUCAUUCAUCAGGUUGGUUCCUGAUAAGUAGAGAGAACUUUGGAGGAUUUUCCGAAGGGGGGAUGGAGAGAAAAGGGCCAAGAGAUUUCAAUUCUAACAUAGAAGGGAUAUGAAAGAGACAUAGUGGUUCGAUUUCUCUUGCAUAUUUACUCCUCCAUUUUAUUUCGCUUUGGAUUUCUGGUGUCAAGUAUGGAGUUCGAGUGAGUCGUUUGUCGAUUCGAGUUCCGAAUUUUAUUAUGCUUUGGAUUUCUGGUGUCAAGUAUGGAGUUCGAGUGAGUCGUUUGUCGAUUCGAGUUCCGAUCGAGGCUCCUUCGAGGUUGCUGGCUGCUUUCGCUUGGCUGCUGCGUGAUUCAAAUUUUCACUGCCGAGGUCCCUUGUAUUUAUGCCCCUGAAAUUAAUAGAAAUUUUGAGCAUCCAGGUUUAUUUACCCUCCUGUACUACUUUGUUUAUAUGGUUUAAAACAUGGUUAGGAGAUUCAGUCUCGUUGGAGCUGAGAUUUAUGUGAUGUCGAUGUGGUAAGCCACAUUUUGAUAACUUUAUAGCUGGUAAGGCAUUUGAAUUAAAGCGUGGUUAGUUGUGAAAUGAUUAGCUGAAUUUCAUUCUAGUAACAUGCUCUUCGUGAUCUUCUAUGAGUAUUCAGUUUGACCUUCUCAGUUGGAGCUUGAAAUAGUGCCGAGAUGAGUGACAUUUUAUUGCCUAGUGAAGGCCUGAUGCUCUGAAUUGGUUGUUGCCCCUUACCCUGUUUAUGUCCUUUUGCUAACUGAUAGUCCUGUUUGAUAUUUUCAAUUCACUUGAGUAGAAUUUGCUGGCAUCUCUUCUCUUCUUGCUAAGUUUAGUCUUGCUCUCCGUUUGUGAUUUAGAAUUGUAACCGUAAAGGAUAAAAAGCAGUUGGUGUUGGAAUUCAUGUGUCAAAGCUAGAGCAAUUGCGAACAUUAACCGUUUGGGUGUAAAUCCUAUGUGCUUGAGUUGAUAUUUUGUAAACCUGAAAGUCUAAGCUUUAAGUUGUACCUUUCUAUUGCUGAAAUCUACCCUAAUUUCUGGCUCUGUUUUACAUUUGAGAACAUUGGUUCGAGCACUUGGUAUCCUCUAAUUGUUUGUUCUACUCUGUAUUCAUUGUUUUCAAAUUGCGAGUGUGUCAUUGGAGAUUUUUGUGCUAAUUAUACACUAAUACAUGUCCUGGAUUCUUUGUGAUAGAGUUGCUGAAUUCAUUUCUUCUGAUAAGUUGAGUUAGUAUCAAGGAGACGUAAUACUCAUUAAGAUCAGAAUGUCAGUCCACGACGACUUUCAUCCAACUCUUAUUGAAUUUUAUUAUUUUGAAAAUUGGUUUGGGCUAUACAAGUCGAGCAGCAUUUAAAUUAGGAGGUCUUCGUCUUGUUCAAAGUGUGGACUUGAACGUGAAACCCAACUUACUUUUAAUGAAUGGUAGCUCACAAUACUAAUUAAUUAGGUUUUCUCUAAGAGACAAUUGAUACUAGAAACAUAAUAGUCCCUUUUAAGUUGGCUUUUAAAAAUGAAAACGAGGUGCGCCGCACCAAACAAAAAUGCAUAAAUUGCGUGGCUCUCUUUAAAUGCUUAUAUUAAAAUACUUAGAAUUCGGGACAUGCCUCUUAGCGAACUUCACGGCUUCCUGCAAAUGUAACAACACGUUAGCCAUUUUAGGCACGUCCUUUAAUAAUUUUACUUUCCUAAAUUUGGGUGCACAUUUAUGUGACCCAAAUCCAAAUCUCAAAGAAGUAGAAAUGUGUCAAAAAUCGCGGGUGCAUUUAUGUGACGUGGUUCGAGACAUAUUGCAACGACAUUACAAUUGCCUUUAAAAAAUAAUAGUAAAAGCGGUUGAAGGUUAAAAAGCACAUAAAUCUAAAGAUGUUCUACAAUCAGAUAAUUUAAGCCAAAUAUGACAGUUGAGCGACCGUGCUAGAACCACGGAACUCGAGAAUGCCUAACACCNNNNNNNNNNNNNNNNNNNNNNNNNNNNNNNNNNNNNNNNNNNNNNNNNNNNNNNNNNNNNNNNNNNNNNNNNNNNNNNNNNNNNNNNNNNNNNNNNNNNNNNNNNUCGGAUUAACAGAAUUCCUUAUUCGGAUUUCUGGUUCGCGGACUGUUAAACAAAGUCAUUCUUUCCUUGAUUCGGGAUUCUAACUGGUGACUUGGGACACCAUAAAUCUCUCAAGUGUCUAUUGUCCAAUAAUUGGAAAAAUUCCCUUAUCUGCGCCCUUCACCGGGUUGUGGAUAGCCAAAAGGAGGUGUGACAGCUCUGGCGACUCUUCUGGGGAAUCGAACCCAGAAUCUCUGGUUCAGGAUUCAAGAAAUCGAGCUUAGGAUAAUUGUUGUAUUUGGUUUUGUUUAUUAUUUGAUUUUACAUGUUGACUUAAUGUACAAAAUGAUGCUUUAACCGCUUUGAUAUUAUUUGAAUUGUAUAUAAACUGUUACGAAACCUUCUCUCUUUAUCUUUGGGGAUGUGCUCGCUAGUCGAGACUCCAUAUUAUGUUAGUGUCAUACCUUAAAAUAAGAAAGAGGCUCGGAAAAGUUACAAAGCCGGACGAUCUUGCAGGUCCCCGGUACGUAGCCCCCUCCUCGACUCGAGUUGUCCGCUCGGGUACAAUGUCUAGAACAAAUACCCAGGUGCUGAACUUAGUAUAACAAAACCUCAUGACAGAUCCUUAGUAGGAACACUUAUCUGCAUCAUCCAUUUGACUUAGGAGACACAACACGGGGGUUGGGUCCAUCUAGGAUAGGUGUUCCCAAAAUAAUAGACCAUCUUGAUACAUCCUAAUGUCAUACAUGUUGCAUUUCUCCAAGGGUAAAGGGUCAUUUGGCGGACCAAUGAUUGCUGAGGGUAAACGAAAAAUGAGAAAAAAAGUGAAAAAAAAUGAAAAGAAAAGAGGGUGAAGGGUUAAAAUAAAGCAAGUAGGAUUUCGUUAUGUUUUGUUAUAUUUUUAUUAAAAAAGAGACACGGGAUAUGUGAAAAAUUCAAAAAAAAGAAGAAUAUUUCGCACUUUUUAUUAUUUCUUGAAAAUAAAAAAAAGAAAAUCCAAAAAUAGUUUACAUAUUUCAUCAUUUUUCGAGAAGAGACAAAUGAAAAUGUUUUCUUUAAAAAUUAGCUAUUUUUUUAAUUUUUUGCCCGUACCCAAUUUGCCCGAACUACGCAAACCUCAUUCUUGUCUUUCGGGACGUGAUACGUAGGCAACCCACAUAGGGUCCGGUCUUCUUAGUAAAUCUUGGGUUCUUGGCUUUGCAGGGCCUUAGCCAAAUUUCGCACUUCUAGACAUCUGGCUUUUACUUCUAAAAUGUUCUCCUUGUUGAAUUGACUGCUUUUGUUACAUAGCAUAUUGUUCAGUGAGUUAGAAUUUGUUGAUGGAAGUUGAAGGUUUGCUAGGCAAUAAUUUGAUGCUAGUUUCCUGUUGCUAUAAAGAAUUUUGUGCUUGCUGCCCGCAGUCCUGUAUUGUUCACUUUCUGCUCAACAGUGAGGCAUGCUUAUAAUGUAUAGCUUAUUGUUGUCGUGCGGUGUAGGAGUUUUCUUUAGAGUGACUUUGAAUUCCUUAAGGUUUUGUUUACCCCUUUUUGGAAAUUUUCCCUUCCUUUUUCUCUUUGGCAGUUAGAAUUCUAACAUAUUGCGAACAUCCUAGUACCAUCUAAAACACUAUCCUUCAUAUCAGUGUAGCGUGUCCUUUUGUCUCAUAGUUUAGCCGGUAGCACUAGGAUACAUGGACAGAACCUCCUUGGUGUCGAUCUGUCAGAAGUGACCUAUAAAGAAUAUCUAAAGUGAACUUAUAUGAUGAAGUUACUCUCUAAAUAUGUCAUACUUGAAACCUUUGAUUUGAUGACUUCAUCAUCGGGAUUUCCUCAAUUAAUCUGCAAUUAUUCUCUCAUAUUAUUGUUGUUAUUUACCUAUCACCAAAUAAGAGUUAUGUGUUGCAUGUCAAGGAUCAAGUGCCAAAAGCUAUUUGCUUAUUACUUGUCGAAGUGCUCAAUGUAGUUUUGAAGAAAUUUGAUAUUAGAUGUUUCUUUUGUUGGGGUAGGUAGGGUACAAUCUUUUUUAGAUCUGGAUGUUCCUUCAUGACUUGUUAGUGGGAAGUGUGGUAGAUCUUGAUAUUUUAGAAGAUAAGCAUUCAUCCUUCAUGACAUCCUGGAGGCAUCAUAUGUUAUUUCUAGUCUAACCACAUCCUUAGUGACAUUCCUAGUUGGCCUUGGCAGUAGGAAAGGUAAGAGUACUUGUUUGUUGCAUUAUGUAGUUGGUAAUGCAUCUUUGUUUCAUUUCAUGGAUCUCCUGAAUGAUAUUAAGGGAUUUAAUUUUGUCUUAAGAAAAAAGAACCACUUGAUUGCAUUACAUGUUUGCAGAGUUUUUUAUUUGAGCAAAGAUUGGUAUUACUGUCAGUUACUAUCCACAUGGUGAUGAAGUUAUCAAAGCCAUAUUUAUAUAAUAAUUGAGCUGGUGCAUUUGUGAUUUAUCAAUGGUAUUUUUAAUAAGGUUCAUUAGUGAAAAACCAUUUACAGGUUCUUGUUUCAGAGCUUAUUGUUUUUUGGCAGAAGAGUUGAAAAAUUGGAACUUUAUCCAAGGAUGACGCUGAAGUUGACGAGGAGGAAGAUGGAAGCUAGAGUUGCAGCUAAUCAUAUCAAACAACAGGAAAAGGGGUGUCAAAAUAGUUGACAAUUAAAUAGUAGGUUCCCAACGAAGUGUUGAGAUUUGAACUUUGUUCCCCUGCUAGAUUUUGUUUAGCAUUGACAAUGACAAAUAGGUGGAAAUUUAGAGCUUCUGUGCUCGGAAUUUAUUUGUAGUUGUAGUGCUGUUAUUGAUAUUUAUGACUACUGUAGGUUUGGUUAUGGAUAGUUCAUGUAUUUUGGAAUGUUGGAUUUUGAUUUUUGAUUUUUCUGUCAUUGUGGUACGAAAGGGAGAUCUUUUGGGUAUAAUGGCCUUGGCCUAUAAGUCUAAAAUCUUAAUGAAGAUUGUUGAAGUGUUAGAGGUCACAUUUUGUUCAAUGAUAAAUGAACAGGUGGCUAUGUCUUGUGGAAUUAUUUUUUUUAGCCUACAAAAAGAAAGUUCUUUAAUUCGACUAUUGCUGAAUUCAAUGGUCAAUUGGGACAAGUACUACUUUGCUUUCAGUAGUAGUUGAUAGUAGUACAAGCUUAGGAAUGAUAACAUUCGGGAGAACGUGUACGUGGCUUCCAUUGAUGAUAAGAUAUGAGAAGUGAGGUUCAGAUGGUUCGGGCAUGUACGGAGGAAUAGCCUGUAGGUCUAUUUAUCGGAGUUUGAGCGUGGCAGACACUCCAGGACCAUCCAGUCAAGAUCGUUCAUUCAGGAGUUGCUUAAGAAGAUUUAUUUGUAUUUUUAUCUUUGAGUGUGUGUAUAUAUAUAUAUAUAUAUAUAUGUUUAAAGUGUGGACUUGAACGUGAAACCCAACUUACUUUUAAUGAAUGGUAGCUCACAAUACUAAUUAAUUAGGUUUUCUCUAAGAGACAAUUGAUACUAGAAAAGUUAGUUAUUUUACUUUUUUUUGUAUUUGAAAGAUGUGGUGUAACUCAAAAAUCCAAAAAACGAUAUCUUGUAUUUUUUAUAUUUCCCUUAGAAUUUUCUUUAGAAAUACUGCUCCUAGAAAUCAAGAGAAAAAAACAAAUAAAGAAGGUUUGAGGUGGUUUUAUUUUAGGAAAUUAGUAUCUAGAAAUUAAAGAAAAAAAAAUUGUACUUCCCUAGUAUAUUAAGAAAAGAAUUUUCUUCUAGUACUUCUUUAAAAGCUUUCUAUAAGGUGUUAAUUCUAACAUAAAAAAAGAUUUUUUUUAGGGUGUUUCUUUGGGAAAUUAGUGAAAAAUAAAAAAAAUCUUUUUGUUUCAUUAGAACUCUAGGAUAUUGUACAUAGAAGAAAAAAGGACAACAUACUCUAUCUAGGGUUUAUUUUCCGAGUUUCUAUUUUAGGCAAUUAAAAUCGGAAUGCAAAUGUUUUCUUAUUGCUUGUUUCGAAAUCUUGCGUCAGGGUAUCAAAUGAAUUUUUAAAACAUUCUUUUUUGUGGUUUAUUUUUAUAUUUUCUUCCUAAAAAAAAGAAUCAAAAAAUAUUCUUUUCUUAUAGAGCCUUUUUCUUAAUAAGCUACCACAUAGUGUUUAUUUCGAAGAAACACAAAAGAAGAACAAAAAAUAUUUUCUCGUUGAGCUUGAGUUUAGAGUAUGUUAUAGAUCGUUAAGUCUAGAAAAUUCAAAAAAAAGGGAUUUUCUACUUUUAUCUGAGUAGUCGUUUAAGGUAAAUAAAUAAAUAAAUAAAUAAAGGUCAGUUUGUUUACUUUAUUUCCGAUCUUCCAUAAGUACGCAAAGAUAUAAUUCAUGCGGGGUCAUAAUACGUAGGCAACCUACAUAGGGUUCAAUCGAAUCAUUUUGUUUUAUUAAAAGAAAAAAGAAAAAAAGGGGUGUAAUUAUGGGACAUGAAAAUUGGAGGAAAGAAAAGAGUGAUGAUAAAGCAAGUGCAAGAAAAGGAAAGAGAGAGAGAGAGGUUGAAAUGAACAAAUUGGGAUGAUGCCAUAUGACCUUUAUACCCGCGAAGUCAUGUUAAAAUUGGUAAUUGUGCAAUGUGAUAUUUUAGCUGUUUAAUGCCCUAACGCUAACAUGAUGGCUUCAUUUUGUUAUACUCGUAGCUAAAAGGUGGUUGGUUUGUGGUUUUUAAAGCAGUAACUCUCCUCUACAACACAAAGUCAAAGGCAAUGGCGAACAAUGAUAGAACUGAGUUGGUCGAUACUGGGGCCCGAAAGCAGUUGGUUGACCAGGACAGUGGGUUAAUUGAACAGGUAAAAAUGUUGAGACAACACACGGUAGAAAUGUAUCAGGCUUGGACGACUGGGAAAGCACUACCCCGACCACCACCUAGCUUCCCAGAUGCUACCGUCAUCCAAACCCUGAUCAUGGUUCCGAAUGAUCCUACAUACUCUCCAGAUGCACCUACUUAUUACAGCUUUUCCAACUACCCUAGUAGCUCUGACACUCAUCCUCCAACUAUCGAUUCCCAGAAGCUCUCCCCUGUUACAUCCAUCUUCCCCAACCAUUAAUACCGACUCGAAGCUCAUGAUAUCCAAUACUGCCCCUCUGAGUUUGCCCACAAGGUUUCCAACUCACACAAGCAAGGCUCGCUGGACGAGCCUCGUGCUGGAAGUGAAAGGUUCACAGAAAGAGAAAGGCGGGAUGGAAUACCCCGAAGGCUGGCAGGCAAAAGACAAUCCUUGAAGAACAAGCAAGAAAUGCAAGACCAGGGUAAUAUGGCUUGCGAAGAACUGUUCGUAUCCCCUGACGUUCGCCUACCCGCAGGGUUCAAAGUGCCAAAUUUAACUUGUAUGAUGGGUGUGGAGAUCCGGCAGUCCACUUGAGAGUUUAUUGCAGUGAAAUGAGAGGCGUUGGAGAGAAAGUUGACCUGUUGAUAGCAUAUUUUAGCAAGAGCCUGGAUGGUGCAGCUUUGGACUGGUAUACUCAUCAAGAUAUUGGUAAAUGGCCUACAUUGGCCGACAUGGAUCAAGAUUUUUUCGAUACUUUAAAUGCAAAUCCAGUGUUACCCCGGACCACGCUUCCCUAUCUAAAAUGGAAAAUAAACCAGAAGAGAGCUUUAGGGAAUUCAGGCUCGGAUGGAGGGCGCAAGCUGCUCGAGUCAGUACCCCGACUGGUAAACAAGAAAUGGUUGAUCUUUUCCUACAAGCCCAGGAGACCGCCUAUUUCAGUCAUUUGGUCCUGGCCUAGGGAAAACCUUUCAAUGAUGUGUUAAAAAUGGGGUAACAAGUAGAAGAAGGAAUCAAGUCAGGAAAAAUCGUGAGUGGUUCGAAAUAUAUUCAGAACAUCCAAGUAAGCUUCGGUAGAAGAAAGAGAAAUAGAAAAGAUGAUGAACAUUUUCAGCCUCGACAUCAUCCUCGUGGAUAUCCUUGCGUACCAGAUGAUCCUCCCAAACGCUGCUUCUCCCCACAGAACUCAAAAAUCGUACAUCACUUUUCCCAUACCCAACUCCACAAAAUGCUUAUCCACCCCCACGAGCAUACCGAAAACCUCCUAGAUCCGAUUUCCAGCCCAGCCAAGC
rnacentral:lncRNA from 1 species